GCGUCACAUCGCGCAGCGCCACGCCGGUGCCGCCGGUGGUCAGCACGAGCUGACAGCCCUUCGCGAUCAUCUCGCGGAUGGCGCG
rnacentral:tRNA from 1 species